AUUGAACGCUGGCGGCAUGCCUUACACAUGCAAGUCGAACGGCAGCACGGGAGCAAUCCUGGUGGCGAGUGGCGAACGGGUGAGUAAUAUAUCGGAACGUGCCCAGUCGUGGGGGAUAACGUAGCGAAAGCUACGCUAAUACCGCAUACGAUCUAUGAAUGAAAGCGGGGGAUCGCAAGACCUCGCGCGAUUGGAGCGGCCGAUAUCAGAUUAGGUAGUUGGUGAGGUAAAGGCUCACCAAGCCGACGAGCUGUAGCUGGUCUGAGAGGACGACCAGCCACACUGGGACUGAGACACGGCCCAGACUCCUACGGGAGGCAGCAGUGGGGAACUUUGGACAAUGGGCGCAAGCCUGAUCCAGCAAUGCCGCGUGCAGGAUGAAGGCCUUCGGGUUGUAAACUGCUUUUGUACGGAACGAAACGGCGAGCUCUAAUACAGUUUGCUAAUGACGGUACCGUAAGAAUAAGCACCGGCUAACUACGUGCCAGCAGCCGCGGUAA
rnacentral:rRNA from 1 species